UCCAGUUAGUGCGAUUUGUGUCUAAUUUCCAAGAAAAUGUGAUUAUUGAGAUUAACUUAUUGUUACAUCCUGUAUUGGUACCAUGUAUCCUGUAUGUUCCAAGAAAAGUUUUUUAAGUCGAAUUAGAUCACUUUUUAUCGGAACCAUGGAAAAUGGUGACUCAAUGAAAUGAUCGUGCCGUCGGAAGAUACAUUUUUUCAGUAAUGGAGCGACGGUACUGGCAGAAUUUCUUGGAUGAACAUUAAACCAUUUAUUUUACAAGAUAUAAAGUCAAAUAAACAAUGGAUUCAAUCAUUAACUAGAUUUAAGUAUCCAUGGGGUGACUUGAGAAAAACAAAAAAUAAUGUGUGUUUUCAGGCUUGUUUUUGGAUCAUAAAAACUUUGGUGCAAUUACAUUAUUUGGAAAUCCAUAAAAGUUUGUGUAUAUGGACAAU